rnacentral:rRNA from 1 species
UACGUAGGUGGCGAGCGUUGUCCGGAUUUACUGGGCGUAAAGGGAGCGCAGACGGAUGGAUAAGUCUGAAGUGAAAGCCCGCGGCUCAACUGCGGGACUGCUUUGGAAACUGUGCAUCUUGAGUACGGGAGGGGCAGGCGGAAUUCCUGGUGUAGCGGUGAAAUGCGUAGAUAUCAGGAGGAACACCGGCGGCGAAGGCGGCCUGCUGGACCGAAACUGACGUUGAGGCUCGAAAGCGUGGGUAGCAAACAGG